rnacentral:rRNA from 1 species
UACGUAGGGGGCUAGCGUUGUCCGGAUUUAUUGGGCGUAAAGAGCGUGUAGGCGGCCGAGUAAGUCCGGUGUGAAAACCCGGGGCUCAACCCCGGGCCUGCAGUCGAUACGGGCAGGCUAGAGUUCGGCAGGGGAGACUGGAAUUCCUGGUGUAGCGGUGAAAUGCGCAGAUAUCAGGAGGAACACCGGUGGCGAAGGCGGGUCUCUGGGCCGACACUGACGCUGAGGAGCGAAAGCGUGGGGAGCGAACAGG